UACGGAGGGUGCGAGCGUUGUCCGGAAUCAUUGGGCGUAAAGGGCGCGUAGGUGGCCCGGUCAGUUCGUGGUGAAAGCGCGGGGCUCAACCCUGCGUCGGCCAUGAAUACUGCCGCGGCUGGAGCACUGUAGAGGCAGGCGGAAUUCCGGGUGUAGCGGUGGAAUGCGUAGAGAGUCCGGAAGAACACCGGUGGCGAAGGCAGCUCGCUGGGACGGUACGUGACUGCCUGAGGCGAGGAAAC
rnacentral:rRNA from 1 species